rnacentral:rRNA from 1 species
GACAGAGGGGUGCAAACGUUGUUCGGAUUUACUGGGCGUAAAGCGCGUGUAGGCGGCUUUGCAAGUCGGAUGUGAAAGCCCCGGGCUCACCUGGGAAUUGCAUUCGAGACUGAAUAGCUAGGGUACGGUAGAGGGAAGUGGAAUUUCCGGUGUAGCGGUGAAAUGCGUAGAUAUCGGAAGGAACAUCAGUGGCGAAAGCGACUUCCUGGACCAGUACCGACGUCAGGCACGAAAGCGUGGGGAGCAAACAGG